rnacentral:rRNA from 1 species
ACGCUCGACACCUACGGGAGGAGCAGUAGGGAAUCUUCCACAAUGGACGCAAGUCCGAUGGAGCAACGCCGCGUGAGUGAAGAAGGUCUUCGGAUCGUAAAACUCUGUUGUUAGAGAAGAACACGAGUGAGAGUAACUGUUCAUUCGAUGACGGUAUCUAACCAGCAAGUCACGGCUAACUACGUGGCAGCAGCCGCGGUAAUCUGAGCGGGCUGGCAAGGC